rnacentral:rRNA from 1 species
GACGAACGCUGGCGGCGUGCUUAACACAUGCAAGUCGAACGGAAAGGCCUGCUUUCCCUUGUGGAUUGCGGGUACUCGAGUGGCGAACGGUUGAGUAACACGUGAGUGAUCUGCCCCCAACUUGGGUAUAAGCCUGGGAAACUGGGUCUAAUUCCCGAUAGGACUGCAGGGUGGUGCCUGUGUUGGAAAACGAUUUUCUAGUGGUUGGGGAUGAGCUCGCGGCCUAUCAGCUUGUUGGUGGGGUAAUGGCCUACCAAGGCGGCGACGGGUAGCCGGCCUGAGAGGGUGGACGGGCACAGUGGGACUGAGAUACGGCCCAGACUCCUACGGGAGGCAGCAGUGGGGAAUAGUGCACGAUGGGCGGAAGCCUGAUGCAGCGACGCCGCGUGGGGGAUGACGGGCUUCGGGUUGUAAACUCCUUUCGACCGCGAGGAAGCCACCUGGUUGGAAGGGUGGUGACGGUAGUGGUAGAAGAAGCACCGGCUAACUACGUG